UAUGGCGACCGGCGCACGGGUGAGUAACACGUAUCCAACCUGCCGAUGAUCGGGGAUAGCCUUUCGAAAGAAAGAUUAAUACCCGAUGGCAUAGUUCUUCCGCAUGGUAGAACUAUUAAAGAAUUUCGGUCAUCGAUGGGGAUGCGUUCCAUUAGGUUGUUGGCGGGGUAACGGCCCACCAAGCCUUCGAUGGAUAGGGGUUCUGAGAGGAAGGUCCCCUACAUUGGAACUGAGACACGGUCCAA
rnacentral:rRNA from 1 species